AUGGGAUUCAGAGAUUUACACUGCUUUAAUUUGGCUCUCCUUGCUAAACAGUGUUGGAGGCUUCUAUGUGAACCAGACUCUUUAUGUGCUACAGUCUUGAGAGCAAAAUAUUUUCCUGAGGGUGAUCUACUUAAUUGCAGUCUUAAGAAGGGUAGCUCUUACACUUGGCAAAGUCUUUGGUAUGGCAUUCAAACUUUCAAGCGAGGGAAUAUAUGGCGAGUAGGAGAUGGGUCACAGAUAAAUAUAUGGGAGGACACAUGGAUACCAAGCAGCCCCACUCGAAAGGUUAUGACACCUAGAGCUAACAUUGUGAUCACCAAGGUGUCUGAAUUAAUUGAUGCGGAUAACAGAGUGUGGGAUGCACAGUUGAUUCAUGAGUUGUUUUGGCCAAUUGAUGCACAACGUAUUCUGAAUAUCCCAUUGGCUGUAGGGAUGAUGGAGGACUUUGUUUCUUGGCAUUUACAUAGGAGUGGAUAAUUUACGGUGAACUCGGCCUAUCAUGAAGAAUGGGAGCACCAACAUGGACGAAAGUUGAGGAUGACUAACUCAAUACAAGCCUCAAGUACUAGUCCAGUUUGGAGGACCGUUUGGAAAUUGAAUGUGCCAUCAAAAGUAAAAAUCCACGUGUGGAAAACUUUACUCAGAGCGAUCCCAUGUCAAGGAGUUCUUGCAAAUAGACACAUAAUAACUAGUUCUCAAUGCCCUUUGUGUAACUCAGAUUGUGAGAGCAUUCGACAUGCUCUCUUCCUAUGCCCGCGUGUUCAACAAGUUUGGCGCCUGCUUGGUUUGGCAUCAGUGGUUAACGAGGUUUGCAUGAUGGAAAGGGAGGGCGGCUCAGUUAUGGCUGAUCUGCUUAUGUCCAAGAACCCAACGAAGGCGUUGGUCUGUGAUGUCCAGCGCAAUGACCUUGUUGCCACAGCGGUGUGGUAUUUAUGGUGGGAGCGACGUAGCUAUACCCAUGGUGAGCAACUAUAUGAACCCACUAGAUCGGCGCAAGCAAUUUCAGCACUUGCGAAAAAUUUCUCAAGAGCAAAUUCAAAGAAGGGCAGAAUAAAGAGACAUGGCUAG
rnacentral:rRNA from 1 species